GUCCAGAAAACAAUGAUGUGGUCAUUUCCAAGCACAUAUCUGAUGAUCUAUGUGAAUACUACUUCUGAGUUUCCUGGAC
rnacentral:snoRNA from 1 species